GAUGAACGCUGGCGGCGUGCCUAAUACAUGCAAGUCGAGCGAACGGACGAGAAGCUUGCUUCUCUGAUGUUAGCGGCGGACGGGUGAGUAACACGUGGAUAACCUACCUAUAAGACUGGGAUAACUUCGGGAAACCGGAGCUAAUACCGGAUGAUAUUUUGAACCGCAUGGUUCAAAAGUGAAAGACGGUCUUGCUGUCACUUAUAGAUGGAUCCGCGCUGCAUUAGCUAGUUGGUAAGGUAACGGCUUACCAAGGCAACGAUGCAUAGCCGACCUGAGAGAGUGAUCGGCCACACUGGAGCUGAGACACGGUCCAGACUCCUACGGGAGGCAGCAGUAGGGAAUCUUCCGCAAUGGGCGAAAGCCUGACGGAGCAACGCCGCGUGAGUGAUGAAGGUCUUCGGAUCGUAAAACUCUGUUAUUAGGGAAGAACAUAUGUGUAAGUAACUGUGCACAUCUUGACGGUACCUAAUCAGAAAGCCACGGCUAACUACGUG
rnacentral:rRNA from 1 species